GAUGAACGCUGGCGGCGUGCCUAAUACAUGCAAGUCGAGCGAACAGAUGAGGAGCUUGCUCCUCUGACGUUAGCGGCGGACGGGUGAGUAACACGUGGAUAACCUACCUAUAAGACUGGGAUAACUUCGGGAAACCGGAGCUAAUACCGGAUAAUAUAUUGAACCGCAUGGUUCAAUAGUGAAAGACGGUUUUGCUGUCACUUAUAGAUGGAUCCGCGCCGCAUUAGCUAGUUGGUAAGGUAACGGCUUACCAAGGCAACGAUGCGUAGCCGACCUGAGAGGGUGAUCGGCCACACUGGAACUGAGACACGGUCCAGACUCCUACGGGAGGCAGCAGUAGGGAAUCUUCCGCAAUGGGCGAAAGCCUAACGGAGCAACGCCGCGUGAGUGAUGAAGGUCUUCGGAUCGUAAAACUCUGUUAUUAGGGAAGAACAAAUGUGUAAGUAACUAUGCACGUCUUGACGGUACCUAAUCAGAAAGCCACGGCUAACUACGUG
rnacentral:rRNA from 1 species